rnacentral:rRNA from 1 species
UACGUAGGGGGCAAGCGUUGUCCGGAUUUAUUGGGCGUAAAGAGCGUGUAGGCGGCCAGACAGGUCCGUUGUGAAAACUCGAGGCUCAACCUCGAGACGCCGAUGGAAACCGUCUGGCUAGAGUCCGGAAGAGGAGAGUGGAAUUCCUGGUGUAGCGGUGAAAUGCGCAGAUAUCGGGAAGAACACCCGUGGCGAAGGCGGCUCUCUGGGACGGUACUGACGCUGAGACGCGAAAGCGUGGGGAGCGAACAGG